rnacentral:rRNA from 1 species
AUUGAACGCUGGCGGCAUGCCUUACACAUGCAAGUCGAACGGCAGCACGGGAGCAAUCCUGGCGGCGAGUGGCGAACGGGUGAGUAAUAUAUCGGAACGUGCCCAGUCGUGGGGGAUAACGUAGCGAAAGCUACGCUAAUACCGCAUACGAUCUAUGGAUGAAAGCGGGGGAUCGCAAGACCUCGCGCGAUUGGAGCGGCCGAUAGCAGAUUAGGUAGUUGGUGAGGUAAAGGCUCACCAAGCGGACGAUCUGUAGCUGGUCUGAGAGGACGACCAGCCACACUGGGACUGAGACACGGCCCAGACUCCUACGGGAGGCAGCAGUGGGGAAUUUUGGACAAUGGGCGCAAGCCUGAUCCAGCAAUGCCGCGUGCAGGAUGAAGGCCUUCGGGUUGUAAACUGCUUUUGUACGGAACGAAACGGCGAGCUCUAAUACAGUUUGCUAAUGACGGUACCGUAAGAAUAAGCACCGGCUAACUACGUGCCAGCCGCCGCGGUAA